GGGAAUGUGGCUUAGAGGUACAGUGCAUGCCUAGCAUGCAUGAAGUUCUAGAUUCGAUUCCUCAGUACCA
rfam:Dipodomys ordii contig_17115, whole genome shotgun sequence.